rnacentral:rRNA from 1 species
AUUGAACGCUGGCGGCAGGCCUAACACAUGCAAGUCGAACGAGUGGAGGACGGGUGAGUAAUGCUUGGGAAUCUGGCUUACGGAGGGGGAUAACGACGGGAAACCGUCGCUAAUAAUGCGAAACCGAGGAUGAGCUCACGGGGGAGUAGGUAGUUGGUGGGGUAAUGGCCUACCUAGACGACGAUGUUCAGCUGGUCUGAGAGGGUGACCAGCCACACCGGAACUGAGACACGGCCCGGACUCCUACGGGAGGCAGCAGUGGGGAAUAUUGCGCAAUGGGGGCAACCUGACGCAGCCAUGCCGCGUGAAUGAAGAAGGCCUUCGGGUUGUAAAGUUCUUUCGGUGACGAGGCGUUAAUCACAGAAGAAGCACCGGCUAACUACGUGCCAGCAGCCGCGGUAAUAC